GACGGCGUCGGUGGGCUUGAUGAUCGACGGCUUGUCGCGCUGUUCGACGCGGACGUCGCCGGGGGCGUGCAUGACGGCCUGUCGCAU
rnacentral:tRNA from 1 species